CUUCAACACGGCCGGCCGAGGUUCUGGCGGUGGCUGCGUCCGGCAGGGGCGGGCAGAGUUGGAAGUGGUGGCGUUCGCUUUCCCUAGGGGCGUCAGAGCUUAGCGAGGACUGAGCCUGGGAGAUCAGCAGGCGCCAGCUCCUUUAGGUUUUUGGGACGGCGGCGGCAGCAGUGUUCAGGUUCUAAAUGGCUUCUAAGAAGUUGGGUGAGAUUUUCAUGUAUGACUUCUCCCUGGAAAAGAAAACCAUUGAGUGGGCUGAAGAUCUAAAGAAAAUCCAAGAAGCCCAACAGGAAGCAGAAUGCAAAGCCGAGGAAGCAGAAGCUAAAGUGAAUUCUCAGAGUGGCCCAGAGGGUGACAGCAAAACAGUGUCUCCAAGACUCACAGCACAGCCACAGUGCCACCUCCUAUUAACCCUAUCCUUGCCAGCCUACAGCACAACGGCAUCCUCACUCCAACUCGGUCAGCAGUAGCGCCACGAAACAGAAAGUUCUCAGCCCACCCCACACAAAGGCAGACUUCAAUCCUGCUGAUUUCGAGUGUGAAGAAGACCCAUCUGAUAAUCUGGAGUUGAAAACCAUUGAUGAGAAGGAAGAGCUGAGAAAUACUC
rnacentral:lncRNA from 1 species